AAGAAGCGCUUAAUGUCGAGACCUAAUUAGGCGUGAACUAAAAAAACGAUUUAUCUGACUUCUUGAUAUAAGCACCAUACAUGUCUAAUAAUUGAAGAUGAAGAAGACGAGGCGCCUGGUUCUGGAGAAAUAUGAUCGAUGAUUAACUUCCUUAUGUCUGAAUCGUUUCUUCUAGUAUCCUUUUAUUCUCCUAAAUAUUUUCUUCUAAUUUCCUGUUAAUCCUUUCAAAUUUUAAGAACAUUGUGAAUUGCUUAAGUUUCAAACGGUCCUCCAAUGCUCUAAUCUCUAAUCAGUGUCCUGAAGGGGUGAUUGAAUUAAUCGGUCCUCCUAAAGACCUAAUCAAGUAAGUCUUUUCUAGUGUUUGAAAUUUAUGCAUAACCUACUUGUAGUUGCUAAAAUCUGAUAGUGCUUAUUGAUUAAAAAUUUUGAAAUUUUAGUUUUCUUAUAUAGCUUAGUGGUGGAGUGAAGUAAUUGAUCAAAGUUGUAGUCUUCUUGAUCCAAAAUUGCUAUAAGAUUCAUCAAUUUUUUAGGUAACUUUGUUCUUCAAUUUCUUUUGACUUUUAUAGUUUUAUAAGGCUUUCUGCAAUAACAUUUCUUAAAUUCCUGAUGUAGUUUUUUUUUUUUAAUUUUUGAUUAAUCUGAUAUAUGUCGAAUUUUGUUUGAAAAUAUGAUAUGUAAAUUCCGAUUUUGAAAAGUUUAUAUGUGAAUUUGGUUUUGAAUUUCAAAUAUGUGAAUUUUGAUUUUAAAUAACAAAUGUGUUUUUGAUUUCUGAAUAAUCUGAUGCACAUGAAUACCUGAUGUAUCCUAAAAUCUGAUAAGUUAUUUUAAUCUCUAAAAUUUUGUUGUAUCAGAUUUCUGAAAAUCUAAUGUAUCAUAUUUUUGAAAAAUCUGAUAUGUAAAUUCUUAAAUUGAAAUUAUGAUAUUGAAAAGAGAUGUGUUCUUGAUUUAUGUUUAAUAUGAUGUGGUAUUUUGGAAUAAUCCAAUUAGUUAUUUUAAUUUCUGAAAAUCUGAUGUAUCAAAUUUCUAAAAUUAUCAUUUCAAUUUAAGUUUUGAAAUUAUGAAAUGUUAAUUCCGAAUUUCUGAUACCAUUUUAUGAUUUUGUUUAGGUUGUCAGAUUGAGAUUAUGGAUAGCCAACUUCAGCUUGUAUCAUUCUUUGGUUUUACUAUAUCUUUGUUUAGGUUGUCAGAUUGAGAUUAUGCAAAUGAAAUGGACAUGUAUCCCAAUAUGUUGGUAGCAUAUAAUCUAUUUUUGUUGGUACCAGUCAUAGUUGCUUCAGCAAAAAGAAAUUUUUUUCGCACUUAAAGUUAUUAAAAUUAUAUCUUUGAAGGACUAUCACCCAAUAAAGAUUAAACGGAUUAGCAAUUAUGAGUAUGAAAAAUCAAUUUCUGCUAAGUCUUGAUUAUCAUAAAAUAAGAUAUGGUUUUGCUUCAAAAAAUGCAUAGAGGCAUUGUUUUAGAUAAGUAUUUGUAUGUUUUUGUUUGUAUAACCUUGAUUUAGUUUGUGUAUAAAAUUUAUUUCACUUUUUCUAUAUAUGUAAUUUUUUUAAUAUAUAAGGGCAUUAAUAUAGUAUCUUGCCCCGGGCAUUGAAAAUCAAUGGACCGGCCCUGCUUCUAAUAGAAUUCUAGUCAACUGUAUCAUUUAGACUUCUAAUAGAAUUCUAGUCAACCGGUGAUUGUUUGAGAUUUUAAGAAAUCAUUUAUACCCAUUUUCCCAUAUACUUUUAAUAUUAAUUAAUUUUAUUUGUGUAAGGAUUAUAUAGAAAACUCAAGAAUUUCAUGUAAGGAGAAAUCACAUUUAUUAUACAUGAUUAAUUUGGAUCAUUUGAAGUCGUAUAAG
rnacentral:lncRNA from 1 species